UGGCAGCGCUGCGUUGGGCCGCGGCUGAGCAGCUGCCCCCACUGCUGAGCAGAGCGCUCAUGUGGGCAUCCAGAUCCAUCGGCAGCAAGAUGGCUCUACUCUUGGCUGCAAGAGAGGGCAGCGCUGGAGGGCAGGCAGGUGCAGUCAGCAAAAGGAAAUGUAACUACUUGCUAGGCAGACACCAGGAAGGACAGACAACCCCGAGAGACACUCGGACUCCGGAUAAGGCAGUAGUUACGGGACUGGUGCUCCCUGCUGGUGGCGCUGGGUGAGUCCAGCAGGGUUACUCACCCACCAUGGCGAGGGUGCGGACACAGGCCUCCACCGAGCCCUUGUGCUGCUGCUGCAGCCAAGGACACUCGAGCAGCCGGGUGGUGGACUGCAGCAGCUGAACCACAAUUGUCUGAUGCGUCUGCAGGAGACACAGAACCCCAGAGGGAGCUCGGCCGCCCCAGCCGGCAACACCGGCCCAGGACCCUCUACCACAGUUCCCCUUUGGUCCGGAUAGAAAGUCACUAAUUUUAGCCAUGAACAACCUCCUCUGACUGUACGCAGCCCUAGCCUGGGCUCACAGCCAUGCCUUCCUUCAGAGUGAUAUGAGGGAGGGUUGCACUGGCUCAGAGGCUAAGAGCGCUUGCUGCUCCUUUGAGGGUCCAAUGCAGGUCCUAGCACCCAUGUGUGACUCAUGCAUACUUUUAACUCCAGCUGCAGGAGACCCAAGACCCUCCCCCUUGCCUCCUCAGGCACCCACACACCCGUCGUCCCUGCUCUCAGGAAGCAGAGGCAAGCAGACCUCGGGGAGUUCCAGGCCCAUGGCCAGCCAGAGCUACAUAGUGAGACCCAGGCCCAAAGGUCAAAAUCAUAAAGUACAAUUUAAAACCAAACAACAAAUGAGAGGAGGGCCGGAGAGAUGGCUCAGCGGUUAGAGCACCGACUGCCCUUCCAGAGGUCCUGAGUUCAAAUCCCAGCAACCACAUGGGGGCUCACAACCAUCUGUAAUGGGAUCCGAUGCCCUCUUCUGGUGUGUCUGAAGACAGCUGAGUGUACUUACGUACAAAAAAAAUAAUUUUUUUUUUUUUAAAAAGACAGGAAAGGCAGACUCCAGGCCAGUCAGACAGCCUAACAUGUGUGUGUCUCACAAGCCGGACAACCUUGAUUCGAACGCAAGGAACAGUAGACAAAGGACCUGACUCUACAACAUUGCGUCCUGACCCCCACCUGCUCACCCCCUAGCUGUCGCACACACACAUACAAUAAUGAAAUUCAAAGGUUUAUUUUAAAUUCUACUUCAUUCUACCCUACAGCCAGUCCGAGGCCGGGGCAAUUAAAAAAAAAAUUUUUUUUUGAGACAGGCCGGCCUUAAACUCAGAGAGAUCCACCUGCCUCUGCCUCUUCAGGGCUGGGACUACUAUGCCCAGGCACAGAUAAAAAUUUUCAGAGUCUCCUUGUCUCAAAUGUCUAUCAAAACAAUUCAUCCUUCCAGGAUCUAACCUUGUUUGUUUUCCCCUUUGUUUUUUUUUUUAAGAUGGGGGCCUCACUCUCUCACUCUGGUUUUGCAGGCCAGGCUAGCCUCGACCUCACAGAGAUCCCCGUCUCUGCCUCCAGAGUGCUGGGAUCAAGGUAUAUGCUACCAUGCCCGAUGUGCCUAACCUAUGUACUCUUCUCAGCCCCAGCAUCCAUGGGAGCACUUCCGCUGGUUUCUUCUCCAUUUUCUGUAUAACUACAGGUCUCUUGGGUCUCUAGUUAAGGCUGAAAAAUCUCAAGGCCUGGCUGGCAGUGACGUGGGCCAUGCCUCUGUGGUGAUACCACUGAGUCACAGGGCUGCCUGCCCGCCCAACACCUGAGAGCUGUGCAAGGCUCUGCAAAGUGUGUGGUCAUACCGGUCAUCAUGGCUCUGCUGUCCGGGACAGCAGCCACACCCACCCUCAUCACCCCAGGGCCUGCACACCCGGCUAGAGGACCGAGAGAUUCCUUCGUUGAUCUUGUCAAUCCUAUGGGACCUAAGUCAUUGUUGGGUGUGUUUAUGAGGAUGUUUCCAGAAAGACAGAAGACCCAUCUUAAACAUUCGCUGUACCUGCCCAUGGGCUGGAGCCCCAGCGUGGAUAAAAAGGAGGGAGUGGACCAAGUACCAGCAUGCAUUGCUGGGUGACUGACUGGAUGAAGUGUGACCAGCCAUGGGUGCUCCUGAUGCCAGGAUAGACUGUACUCCUCAAACAGUGAGCCCCGCCCCAGAUCCUUAACUUGUUUCUUGUCGGUUACUUUGACUCUUGCUCUAAGGACUUCUGUUGCCACAAGAUGACAGCCAGCAUCCACUCUGUCACUACUGUAUGUGGAUUCUUUUUUUUUUUUUUUUUUUUUUUUUGGUUCAUUUUUUCGGAGCUGGGGGCC